rnacentral:rRNA from 1 species
UACGAAGGGGGCUAGCGUUGCUCGGAAUCACUGGGCGUAAAGCGCACGUAGGCGGAUUGCUAAGUCAGGGGUGAAAUCCUGGAGCUCAACUCCAGAACUGCCUUUGAUACUGGCGAUCUCGAGUCCGGGAGAGGUGAGUGGAACUGCGAGUGUAGAGGUGAAAUUCGUAGAUAUUCGCAAGAACACCAGUGGCGAAGGCGGCAUCCUGGACCGACACUGACGCUGAGGAGCGAAAGCCAGGGGAGCAAACGGG